rnacentral:misc_RNA from 1 species
UUCUCUCUAGCAUAUGUCUCAGAGAUCCAAUAUCCCACACUUUGCAUCGAUAGCUUUUUCCAUUCACUCUCAUCUCUUCGUUUCUAGUGAAUUAUCAUCUAAUUCCAAUUGGUCAUAAUUUUUUACCUAUUAUCUCAAAAAAAAAAAAGAUCUUCAUCCAUCCCUUUUGUAUUAUUUUUCAUCAAAGAUUUUUUUUGUUGUUUGGAGUAGAUCUUGAUUAAUUAUGGGUGUUAAAGGUUUUGUUGAAGGAGGCAUUGCGUCUAUUAUUGCUGGAUGUAGUACACAUCCACUUGAUCUCAUCAAGGUACGUAUGCAGCUUCAGGGCGAAGCGUCUGCGUCUGCAUCUGUUCAGACGACGCAGACGCUUCGCCCUGCUCUUGCUUUUCAUCCUCCCAAUAACACAACAAAUGCCCAUGUUCCAGUCGCACCUCGUGUGGGGCCCGUUGCCGUCGGUGUACGGAUCGUCCAGCAAGAGGGCGUCGCCGCUCUUUUUUCCGGCAUAUCCGCCACCGUCCUCCGGCAAACCCUUUACUCAACGACCCGAAUGGGAUUAUAUGAUAUGUUGAAGAAAAAAUGGACCGACCCGAAUACGAAAAACAUGCCGUUGGGGAAAAAAAUUGUCGCCGGGCUGAUAGCCGGCGGAAUUGGGGCGGCCGUCGGCAACCCUGCUGACGUGGCAAUGGUACGGAUGCAGGCAGACGGGCGGCUACCCGCCGCGCAACGGCGGAAUUACAAGAGCGUGGUGGAUGCAAUAACCCAAAUGAGCAAGAACGAGGGCGUUACUAGCCUGUGGCGUGGUUCAUCCCUUACGGUGAACCGCGCCAUGCUGGUGACGGCCUCACAGCUUGCGUCUUACGACGAGUUUAAGGAGAUGAUUUUAGGUAAGGGUUUGAUGAAAGACGGACUCGGGACCCACGUGACGGCGAGUUUUGCCGCGGGUUUUGUGGC